rnacentral:rRNA from 1 species
UACGGAGGGUGCGAGCGUUGUCCGGAAUCACUGGGCGUAAAGGGCGCGUAGGCGGCCCUGGCAGUCGGUGGUGAAAGCCCGUGGCUCAACCUGCGGGUCGGCCACCGAUACUCCAGGGCUCGAGGUUUGGUAGAGGCAGAUGGAAUUCCGGGUGUAGCGGUGGAAUGCGUAGAGAUCCGGAAGAACACCGGUGGCGAAGGCGGUCUGCUGGGCCAAGACUGGA